AUUGAACGCUGGCGGCAGGCUUAACACAUGCAAGUCGAGCGGGGGAAGGUAGCUUGCUACUGGACCUAGCGGCGGACGGGUGAGUAAUGCUUAGGAAUCUGCCUAUUAGUGGGGGACAACAUCUCGAAAGGGAUGCUAAUACCGCGUACGUCCUGCGGGAGAAAGCAGGGGAUCUUCGGACCUUGCGCUAAUAGAUGAGCCUAAGUCGGAUUAGCUAGUUGGUGGGGUAAAGGCCUACCAAGGCGACGAUCUGUAGCGGGUCUGAGAGGAUGAUCCGCCACACUGGGACUGAGACACGGCCCAGACUCCUACGGGAGGCAGCAGUGGGGAAUAUUGGACAAUGGGGGGAACCCUGAUCCAGCCAUGCCGCGUGUGUGAAGAAGGCCUUAUGGUUGUAAAGCACUUUAAGCGAGGAGGAGGCUACUCUAGUUAAUACCUAGGGAUAGUGGACGUUACUCGCAGAAUAAGCACCGGCUAACUCUGUGCCAGCCGCCGCAGUAA
rnacentral:rRNA from 1 species